GGUGAACAACCUGGGCGGGCUGUCCUGCCUGGAGCUGGGCAUCGUGGCUGGCGCGGCUGUGCGCCGCCUGGAGAGCCGAGGCAUCCACGUCGCCCGGGCGGUGGUGGGCUCCUUCAUGACGGCGCUGGAGAUGGCUGGGGUCUCCCUCACCCUCAUGCUGGUGGACGAGGAGCUCGUGGGGCUGAUCGAUGCCGAGACCACGGCCAUGGCUUGGCCCAACCUUGCCGC